rnacentral:rRNA from 1 species
AUCGAGCUUAAACUCCCAACCCCUGUGACAUACCUUACUGUUGCCUCGGCGGAUCAGCCCGCUCCCGGUAAAACGGGACGGCCCGCCAGAGGACCCCUAAACUCUGUUUCUAUAUGUAACUUCUGAGUAAAACCAUAAAUAAAUCAAAACUUUCAACAACGGAUCUCUUGGUUCUGGCAUCGAUGAAGAACGCAGCAAAAUGCGAUAAGUAAUGUGAAUUGCAGAAUUCAGUGAAUCAUCGAAUCUUUGAACGCACAUUGCGCCCGCCAGUAUUCUGGCGGGCAUGCCUGUUCGAGCGUCAUUUCAACCCUCAAGCCCUCGGGUUUGGUGUUGGGGAUCGGCGAGCCUUUCUGGCAAGCCGGCCCCGAAAUCUAGUGGCGGUCUCGCUGCAGCCUCCAUUGCGUAGUAGUAAAACCCUCGCAACUGGAACGCGGCGCGGCCAAGCCGUUAAACCCCCAACUUCUGAAUGUUGACCUCGGAUCAGGUAGGAAUACCCGCUGAACUUAAGCAUAUCAAA